rnacentral:rRNA from 1 species
CAAUAGCGUAUAUUAAAGUUGUUGCGGUUAAAAGCUCGUAGUUGGAUUUCUGUUGAGGGUCGUCGGUCCGCACUAUGUGCGUGUAUCUGAUUGAGCCUUGGCAUCCUCUUGGGGAACGUCGCUGCGCUUGAUUGCGUGGCGCGGUAUUCAAGACUUUUACUUUGAGGAAAUUAGAGUGUUCACGGCAGGCAGUCGCCUUGAAUACAUUAGCAUGGAAUAAUAAUAUAGGACCUUGGUUCUAUUUUGUUGGUUUCUAGAACUAAGGUAAUGAUUAAUAGGGAUAAUUGGGGGCAUUCGUAUUAACAUGUCAGAGGUGGAAUUCUUGGAUUAUGUUACGACGAACUACUGCGAAAGCAUUUGCCAAGGAUGUUUUCAUUGAUCAAGAACGAAAGUAAGGGGAUCGAAGACGAUCAGAUACCAU